GCUGCUGCAGUAUGGCUUGAUGAGCGGUGCUAGGUCCAUGCCCAGGAGUCGAACUGGCGAAACCUGGACCGCCAAAGCAAAGCACAUGAACUUAACCACUUGGCCACGGGACCAGGCCCAGAAGCAGUUUUUUCAGUUUGACAUAAAUAGCAAGACAUCUUCCCUAUCCUAUCUCUCAAUCCUUCAGCUGUAAGUCGUACUCACCAGGAAUAUUGGUCAUCUCACCAGCCCAGAAGACAUCACCCUGGUCCACUACGUUGAUGAUGAUAUCAUGCUGACUGGACCUGGUGGGCAAGAAGUUGCAAAUAUCCUAGAUAUCUUGGCAUAUCUCAAAGAUAUUGUGAGUUUGGUUCCAGAUCACCACAAUAGAGUGAAUAUUGCGAUAAACUGCCCUCCAGACCUCAGCAAAUCACGG
rnacentral:lncRNA from 1 species